UACGGAGGGGGCUAGCGUUGUUCGGAAUUACUGGGCGUAAAGCGCACGUAGGCGGAUUGCUAAGUCAGGGGUGAAAUCCUGGAGCUCAACUCCAGAACUGCCUUUGAUACUGGCGAUCUUGAGUCCGGGAGAGGUGAGUGGAACUGCGAGUGUAGAGGUGAAAUUCGUAGAUAUUCGCAAGAACACCAGUGGCGAAGGCGGCUCACUGGCCCGAUACUGACGCUGAGGCACGAAAGCGUGGGGAGCAAACAGG
rnacentral:rRNA from 1 species